AUUGAACGCUGGCGGCAGGCCUAACUCAUGCAAGUCGGACGGUAGCACAGAGGAGCUUGCUCCUCGGGUGACGAGUGGCGGACGGGUGAGUAAUGUCUGGGGAUCUGCCCGAUAGAGGGGGAUAACCACUGGAAACGGUGGCUAAUACCGCAUAACGUCGCAAGACCAAAGAGGGGGACCUUCGGGCCUCUCACUAUCGGAUGAACCCAGAUGGGAUUAGCUAGUAGGCGGGGUAACGGCCCACCUAGGCGACGAUCCCUAGCUGGUCUGAGAGGAUGACCAGCCACACUGGAACUGAGACACGUUCCAGACUCCUACGGGAGGCAGCAGUGGGGAAUAUUGCACAAUGGGCGCAAGCCUGAUGCAGCCAUGCCGCGUGUAUGAAGAAGGCCUUCGGGUUGUAAAGUACUUUCAGCGGGGAGGAAGGCGAUGUGGUUAAUAACCGCGUCGAUUGACGUCACCCGCAGAAGAAGCACCGGCUAACUCCGUGCCAGCAGCCGCAGUAA
rnacentral:rRNA from 1 species